CAUGCAAGUCGAACGGUAACGCGGGGCAACCUGGCGACGAGUGGCGAACGGGUGAGUAAUAUAUCGGAACGUGCCCAGUAGUGGGGGAUAGCCCGGCGAAAGCCGGAUUAAUACCGCAUACGACCUACGGGCGAAAGCGGGGGAUCGCAAGACCUCGCGCUAUUGGAGCGGCCGAUAUCAGAUUAGGUAGUUGGUGGGGUAAAAGCCUACCAAGCCAACGAUCUGUAGCUGGUCUGAGAGGACGACCAGCCACACUGGGACUGAGACACGGCCCAGACUCCUACGGGAGGCAGCAGUGGGGAAUUUUGGACAAUGGGCGCAAGCCUGAUCCAGCCAUGCCGCGUGCGGGAAGAAGGCCUUCGGGUUGUAAACCGCUUUUGUCAGGGAAGAAACGCUCUGGGCUAAUACCCCGGGGUAAUGACGGUACCUGAAGAAUAAGCACCGGCUAACUACGUGCCAGCAGCCGCGGUAAUACGUAGGGUGCAAGCGUUAAUCGGAAUUACUGGGCGUAAAGCGUGCGCAGGCGGUCUUGCAAGACAGAUGUGAAAUCCCCGGGCUCAACCUGGGAACUGCAUUUGUGACUGCAAGGCUAGAGUACGGCAGAGGGGGAUGGAAUUCCGCGUGUAGCAGUGAAAUGCGUAGAUAUGCGGAGGAACACCGAUGGCGAAGGCAAUCCCCUGGGCCUGUACUGACGCUCAUG
rnacentral:rRNA from 1 species